GACGAACGCUGGCGGCGUGCUUAACGCAUGCAAGUCGAACGGAAAGGCCCUGCUUUUGUGGGGUGCUCGAGUGGCGAACGGGUGAGUAACACGUGAGUAACCUGCCCUUGACUUUGGGAUAACUUCAGGAAACUGGGGCUAAUACCGGAUAGGAGCUCCUGCUGCAUGGUGGGGGUUGGAAAGUUUCGGCGGUUGGGGAUGGACUCGCGGCUUAUCAGCUUGUUGGUGGGGUAGUGGCUUACCAAGGCUUUGACGGGUAGCCGGCCUGAGAGGGUGACCGGCCACAUUGGGACUGAGAUACGGCCCAGACUCCUACGGGAGGCAGCAGUGGGGAAUAUUGCACAAUGGGCGGAAGCCUGAUGCAGCAACGCCGCGUGCGGGAUGACGGCCUGCGGGUUGUAAACCGCUGUCGCCUGUGACGAAGCGUGAGUGACGGUAAUGGGUAAAGAAGCACCGGCUAACUACGUG
rnacentral:rRNA from 1 species